GGUUUUUUGAAAGCAUGUUGUAUAAUGUAUCACUUCGAUCACACCAUCACCCUAGACGAGAUAUUUUAGCUACUGGGUUAGGUACAUAUGGUAGUGUCGUGGGAUCAGCUGCACAAAUUAAUUCGGAAAUUCUAAGAUAUAAACUUGCUUCUUUAGCCUCUCAUACUUCUACGGGUCUGGAUACCCAAUAUGGUAUUAAUACUAAUAUUGUUAAGCUUCAGCAGCAUCAAACUCAUGUUAUGGUAGAUACAACUGAGAUUAUUUCUGAUAAGUUUCACACUCUGGUCGACUCAGUUUACAAUUUUACUCGUGAUACUGCAUGGGCAAUGCUAUGUUCACAGGUUCAGGCUGAUCUGUCUACCGAUCUUAAACUUCAGUUGCAAAGUUUAUGGUCAGGUAGAUGGCCUGCUUCGUUGAGUCGUGCUGCUUCAAAAUCUGUGACUGACUUUGCGAUGACUCAUCUUUUGUGGUGGGAAGUUCUUCUAUCUGACUGCUCACUUGAAAAAUGUGCCAUUCAUACAUUAAUACCAUGGGCAGGCAAAGAUGCUAUUAUUUAUCGUUUAGCUACAAUUGGCCUACCGACUAAUGGGUCAUUAUUAUUGCCUGAACUUUCACAUCAAUGGGUAGCCCAGGGUACGGAUAGUUCUAACUGGACCCUUGUAGACAUUUCUUUGUGUCACUCUAAUGCUAAUUCUUAUAUAUGUUCUCCAUCCCAAUAUAAAACUACUACUGAAACAUGUUGGGUUAAUCAGGAUGAAUGUAGUUUUCAUGGUCAAUUUAAUGUUACAAAUCCUGUCUACUACUUGGGGUUAGAUCGUGUUUGUUUUCACUUAUUUCAGCCUGAUCAAAUUAUUUUUAAAACACUGGAUAAAUCUCUUCUCAGCACUCACUUAUUGCCUGGCACUUGGUGUAAUUCCAUUCCUGUGUCUUACAUUGCUUCUUCAGUAUGGAACUUCACUAUGCCUCAACUUACUAACAUAAGUUUGGAUUUAUCAUGGGAACGUAUUGUUGAUUUUUCCAUGUCAGAUUUGCCCCUAGGUAUGGGUUCUGAGAUGAAAAAAUGGUUAACUGACUCAACAUCAAUUACGACAUUGCUUAAUUCAUUAAAGAGUGUUUUGCACCAAGCUCAAAUUACUGUCACACAUAAACAAGGGAUUCUUAAACAAGUUUCUGUUGCUGUUAAGCAAGAUGGCCAGACCUCAUGGUGGGAAUCUGUUUUGGGAUACAGUAAUACUGCUACACAUUUUUUUAAUGUAAUGUUGCAUCCAGUUGUAGUUAUUUCUCUCUUACAAUUGAUUUUAUUUUUAUUCAUCUGUAUUAGUGGUUGUUAUUUCAAAAGUUUACAUCGUAAUCUGUGUAGAAAGGUGACUGUGUUGGAAGACUUAGAGUCUAGGCAUAAACGCCUUCUCCCAUUAUAUACAUUAAAUGGUUAUUCUGUAUCUUUAGAUCCCUCUCAGCUUCCAACUCCUUAUUAAUUAUGGAUUUUAUUCUGUGUCCAUGUUCUUACAUUAUUUUUGUUUUCUUUUAGAUCUCCAUUUUGCUUUUCUUCUAUGUCAUAACUGGUUCCUUACUUUUAUUUUUAAACAGCACUUGGGCGUUUCUGUCUCUUUAAGUUAAAUACUAAGUGGUACAUUCUGAUGACAGGUUUACCAGCUACACUCUAUUACCAGUGACUUUCUCUGUCAACGUAUAUCCAGCUGCUUUUAUUACGCUUAGUUGUGAAGAAUUCCUAUAUCUACAAGAGUUCCUACUGACUGCUAUGCUGUCUAUGGGUACAAUCGGUACUAGGAUGAAGACUAUGCAUAUUAUUUCUACUGACUAUUUUCUAAACUUUGCAUAUACCUAAGGAAUUGAGGAGCUAACAUGGUUAUCCUACUUCUCAAUCUUCCUGUUUGGUUGCUGUGACCGUUCUAUUGUCACUGUCUUGUGGUGUUUCUCAUGCUGCAAAUUUCUAUUUCAUUCUGCGGCCUGGACUCUAAUUCUGAACUCUCCAUGAACUAUGUUUCUUGCUAUGUCGCUGAUAUUCCUUCUAUUUGAAUUCCGAAUUUGAUUCUGGUUUUUGACUUCUUCAAUCAAGAUAUCUAAAGAACUUUGAUGUAGCUUUAACACAGUUUACUACGUCACUCUGUGUUAUGUUUCUUAUUCCUGUGUUUCUGCUGGUACCACUUGUAUUUGAUUUUUUGCUUUCAUUAUUGCUGUAUUCAAUUUUUUUCUCCCUCUCUCUUUCUCUUCUCUUCUCUUUAGCAUAAGUGUUGUUUUGUUUUUGAUUUUUCUCUGUUUUUCUCUUGUUUUUUCUUUUUGGUUUUGUCAUAGAAGAAAAACAAGUGGGGGAGUGUGGAGUGUUGAUCAUUAUUUAAUGUGUAGUUUGCAAUAUAUAUAUGUAUUAUAUGGUAUGGUGCAUAUAUAUAUCUAAUAUGAAUGUACAUUUAGCUGUAUAACAUAGGUGUAUGAAAUAUUGCAGGCCUUUUUGCUUAGAUUUGAAAAAGUUAAAUUUUCAAUGACAUUUCCACAAGGUUAACAGCUAAAAGGUUGAAGUUAAAUUAGAACAAACACAUGUGUUGUCA